UCCUGAUCCAGCGCAGGCAGAGGGACAAGGCACUUUUUGGAAGCUUGGCUUCUUCAAAGAGAGAGAAUUCAGCUCUUUGAUCCCACUUUUCCCUGCUAAAGAAAGGCUGUGGCUUCUGAAUUCAAGACUUGAACAAAGUCUACAGGAGUCCUGAGAACUCAAGGAGAGAAAAGGUCACCACAAACCUGAAAGAACUGGAGCUGUUUCUCUAAACUCCAGAAGAAGGGGUGUUUCAGCACACAGCUGGCAGACGGCCGUUUCUGAGGGUCCAUGUUUAUCAUCUGCUCGAUUAAAUCACGAGCAACUAUGUCUUCUGCAAGGAAAAGGGUGCAGGGAAAUUUAUGGGCCUCCAGGCUGUAUGCUCCCUGCAGGAUGUUGGCUUGCCGCUGCAGGGACUUGCCAAAGGGGUGGCCACCUUCUGACACCACGUAAUAGAAGACACAGCCAGCUGAGAAGAU